rnacentral:rRNA from 1 species
AACUUUCAGCGAUGGAUAUNUUGGC